rnacentral:rRNA from 1 species
GCCGCGCGCCGGUUUCGACGCGUAGCGCGAUCCUUCCAUACGUCGAACCUUUACGACUCUCGGCAACGGAUAUCUUGGCUCUCGCAUCGAUGAAGAACGCAGCGAAAUGCGAUACUUGGUGUGAAUUGCAGAAUCCCGUGAAC